rnacentral:rRNA from 1 species
ACUCAAAUGAAUUGACGGGGACCCGCACAAGCGGUGGAUUAUGUGGUUUAAUUCGAAGGUACGCGAAGAACCUUACCAAGGCUUGACAUCCCGAUCGUAUGCUUAGGAAACUAGGCAGUCAGCUCGGCUGGAUCGGUGACAGGUGUUGCAUGGCCGUCGUCAGCUCGUGUCGUGAGAUGUUGGGUUAAGUCCCGCAACGAGCGCAACCCUUAUCGUCUGUUGGAUUUUCAGGCGAGACUGCCCCGGUUAACGGGGAGGAAGGUGGGGACGACGUCAGGUCAGCAUGGCCCUUACGCCUUGGGCUACACACGUAAUACAAUGGCCGGUACAACGGGUCGCGAACCCGCGAGGGGGAGCUAAUCCCAUCAAAACCGGUCUCAGUUCGGAUUGCAGGCUGCAACUCGCCUGCAUGAAGUUGGAAUCGCUAGUAACCGUGGGUCAGCACACCACGGUGAAUACGUUCUCGGGUCUUGUACACACCGCCCGU